GGGUGAACUCGUCAAAGGUUCUCAUCCGCUAGCACCCCCUCCUUGCAGCAGCGGCAGCAGCAGCAGCACCAAAGAGCGGGCGCGCGGGUGAGCCACACACGCACACAUAUAUAUAAAGAUAAGCACCUCACCUGAGCUGCUGCUGUACCGGUGUACGGGUACGUGUAUGCCUGCGCCACUGUAGUGAGUGUGUGCCGUCACCGUUCUUGCCGCGCCCUCUUCAUACCUCCAGCGCAAAGGCCAAAGUUGCAGCCGGUGCAGCACACACACACACACGCACGCACGCACGCACGCAUGUGCACAGGAGGGAGGCCAGCCUCCCCCCCCCCCACCCUCUGUCGCCCUUUCUUUCCAUAAAUCUAUAUACAUCCCCACAUCUGUGUCUACCUGCACCACUGCCGCACACACCCCCUCUUGCCCUUCGCGUGUAGCGUGCUAACCUUUCCUUCAUAUAAUAGAGUGAUAGACGCUUCACUGCACGCUGCACGCACGUACGCACGCGCGCACACGCACGCUGCCUCCCGUGCACGCCUACACUCAUAGACAUCCUCAACGCGCUGCGCCACAUCGCACGGCGGGUUUGGAGACGGCGCGAGCGCGCGCGUUACGAAGUGACAACCCAUAGAAGACGCACCACGGCAAGACAAAAAGCGGCCAUUCGUCGAGACGGCGAGGGAGAGGGAGAAGGACACGCACACGCGCACGCGUCACCAGCCACCACCACCGCUGCUGCGCCGACCACCACUAGCCUAUUUCUACGCGUUUGAGUGUGCGUGUGUGUGAUUUGUUUUCCUGCUUUCCUCAGCGGCUUCCACGCACGGCAGAGACGCACAGGUGUGCGAGCAUCGCAUCUCCUCCACCUUCGCGUGCGGGUGCAUGCGUCCUGUGCUGGCUCUGCUUUCACAUCCACCCACGCUGCACCCCCGUUACUGGCAGAUGCUUCGACGACGAAUCGCUACUUCCUUCUUCGUUGGCGUCGCGGGCGCACAUCCGUGCAAAAACGGCAACAGUCACUCGAAUUCGGCACGAUGUCUGUCCUGCUCCACCUCGCUGCGCGCUGGCGGCGUGCUCGGUGCCAGGGCACCCCUCCUCUACGUGUAUAAGCCACCGGGCAGCAGUGAGCCGAGCCGACUGCCGUGGUAUCAGCACGUGUCCUCGGCACCGUCGGGUAGUACAGAGACGUCGGCAACGACCGCGGCGGCGGCGUCGGCUAUCGGCUCCUCAAGCGUUACCGCAAUGCGAUCCGCUUCGCAGAGCCCCGCCUCGCCGCUGCACUCGCAGAACAUUUCCGCUAUCUUGCAGGCGGCCGACGCGGCAGCAACAGCAGCGGCAGCGUCAGUCUCACAACGGGCAUCCACCAGCCCCGUAUUGACUAGUAGCAAGAGCGGUGUCGGCAACGUUCCCUCGCCAGCAGCAGCAACGCCAUCGGCCGCAACGACUGGGUCUAGCGCCACCGCUCCUGCGUUCCUGUCAUCAUCGAUAGCCGCGGCGACGCAGGGAGCGUUCGGCGCAGCAGCAGCAGCAGCAGCAGCAGCAGCAGCAGCGGCCGCCGCCUCCGCUUCAGCGGCGCUGCACCGCCAGGACGGCGCGCUCCGCCCCACCCCCACUCGCCGAAUGGCUGCAGUCAGUGGGCCCACCCUCGAUGCACGCGUCGAGGACAUCGUCAAGGUGGAGGAGACGCUUGCAUCGGAGCUGACGUUGCCGAAGGUGGUGCAGCUUCUGAUCGACCCUCAAGCCGAGGGCGUCGAGCGCAUUACGAUGAGUGAGUUUGUGGCAAUGCAACCGAAGCGGCAGCUGCUCGCGCUGGGCGGCAGGAAGGAGUGGCAGCAGUGGAUGGAGCAGAGCACGUACUACCAGCAGGCGGCCCGGCUGGCGGCUGAGUCGCCAGCGCAGGAUUUGGCGGCUUUGCAGCAAGCCGGUAUUCAGUCCCUACAGCAGUGGCUCGAGCACCCGCAGCUUGUGAAGGUGUCGGCCCGCACCCGCAGUGCCCUCGACACGGCCGUCGCGCAGAGCGUUGAGGCGUACAUGGCAGAGGUGGUCAAGGUCGUGAACACCAGCAACCAGGUAGAGGACAUCCUAUCGCACUGGGUGUCAGAUGUGAUGGGAAAGUUCGUGCUAGACUCGUUACAGAUUCCAAUCGACCGGGCCUCGCAGGCGAUGUGGGCGAAGCGGAAGGAGUGGAUGCCAGCUGACGUCGUGCGCAACCGUGGUGGCGUCCCUCCCCCCAUGGCCUCUGCAUCCUCGGUCUUGUCGCCUUCCUCCGCCGCAGUUUUCGGAAACGACGUUACGGGACGUUCCCCUCUCCAGAGCGUCGAGUCGCGCAUGCUCGGCGAGAUGCUGAGCGGUUGUGGUGGCGGCGUCGCGGCGCCUGUAUCCGUCGCGAACGCGUCGCAGCUGCAGCAGCAGCAGUCGACGCUCCGGCCGGGUGAGGCGUGCACGUUGGAUCACUACCUGCGGUUUGUGCAGAAGGUGAUCUCUAGCGUACGGCAGGACUACGUGGCGAACCAUGCGGCGAUGGGCGCCGCCCCAGGCGGCCGGGGCGACGACCAGGCGGAGCGCGAAAUCACCGAGCGCUCGUACGGCGUCAUCGCUGCCGCCUUCACUCAGCUGCUCGAGCAAGCCGUGGUGCACCAGCUGCCGCCAGAGCUGCAGGCCUUGCAGCAGAACGGCUACCUCGCGCUGGACCGCGUCCCAGGGCUCCUGAAGCGAGCCGGUAGCUUGCUGGAGCUGCGCUCUGUGCCAGUGCGCUAUUUCGUGUUUCACAGCUCCGUCGACGAGGCGGCCGCAGUGGCGGCAACGACCUCGCACGGGCGUUCGUCGCCCGCGGACGCGUCGUUGAGCGGCGGUGCCGUGAGUGGGCUGGCUGUGCAGGCACCGCCGCACUACGCCUCCGGCACCUUUCUUACUGGGUCGAAUCGAUUAGACGUGACGCUGGGUGAGUGGUCGGGGCAGCCGGACCCGCCGUCGUCAACAGCACGCGAGAGCGGCGGCAUCGUCGACGACGCCACGGAGCAGGAAUACCUCUCGAUGCUGCAUCGGCUGCGCCGCCGCGUCGAGACGCUGGCAGUCACCUCUCUUUACGAGGUCAUCGCGCAGCCAGAGCGGUUCGGCGGCAACGGCUUCAGCGCCGCGGAGGCCAUCGGCCUAGACCAACUUUUCGGCCCUGUGAAGCUGCUCGAGGACCGACUCACAACGCUGCUCCACUAUCCACCUGCCGCCGCCGACAAGCCAAUCCACUUCAUCGAGGCCGGUCCGCUCUCGGGGAAGACGGCGUUGCUGGAGCAGCUCGCCGAGCGCACAACGCGGCCGGGCGACAAAGUAGUGCUGGUGCGCUACGGCGGCUCGGCAACGCCGUACCUGCCGGACCUGGAUGAUCACCCAGUCGCCUUCGCUGCCCGCUUCUGGUUCCGCGUGGCGCUCGCGUCGUGCCCUUACCUGAUCCGCACAGAGGAACUCUACUCUCGUGCGCCGCGUAGCGUGUACUGGUGGGGGCAUGAAAACAACUGGUCCUGGGAGCGGUACCAGAGCCUUCUGCAGUCGGCGCGCAACGCGGGCACCGGCCACCGCCAGUAUCAGCAGCAGCAGCAGUGCGGUGCAUCGUCAGCAACCGUGGCCGCUCCGGCGCAGCUCGCCUCGAUCCUCGUGGAUGAUGUGGAUCGGGCUCUGAGCGCGAUGCAGGUGAAGUGGGGCAACGCAGCGACCCUGUCGUCGGUCAUGACAACUAGCGCGGCAGGUGGUAGCGGUGGCAUGCGCGGCGGUGCCCUCGGGCAUCUCGCCCACUCUUCUAGCGCGGCGGCGGCGUCGCGCAAGGCAUGCAGCGGUGCAGGCGUCGACGAGGACGCUGCCGAUGGCACAGGUGAAGAUGAUGCCGACGACGGCGAUGACGCGGAAGCGCCGGCCCGGGCGACAGCAGCGGCGGCGCAUUCUCCCUCGCUGGAGCAGCAGCGCCAGCAGGUGAUGUCGCUCUGGCUCUCCACUGGCAAGUCCGUUGAGGAGCACCUAUACUCCUGCUUCACUCAGAUAUCCGCGGCGGUGGGGCAGGUGAACUUCGUCUUUGCCGGCACGGCAGCCACGCCGCUGCUGCUGGCCUACUGCCCGGCCCCGUGCAGGCGCUACUACCUGCCGCUCUCCGGCGGUGUUGGACUGCAGUCUCGCCUGCGUGUGCUUCCGCUGCUGUCGACGCUGCACGCGCUGCACUUGACGCACCGCCUCGACAUGCCUGGCCUGCUGUACGAGGUGCUCAAGAACGCGCCAGCGCUGGCCGGCAAGGCGCUCGAGCUUUUCUGGUCCCACCGCGUUUCGCUUAUGGACUUGCGUACAGGACUGCCGCGGCUCACGAUGGGCAACGGCUCGGCGCACCCGCAGUUGCUGCACAGCUACGUGCCACGUGAGCUGUUCGCUGAGCUGCCGGUCUACAUAACGCUUCUUCAGGACCCACGCCGCACCCGCCGUCGUCUCGUCGAGCUGCUGCAGCGCCAACUCAGCAGCCCGACCGGAUACCUCAGCACCGAGCUCGACACAACGCCGCAGGACGUCAAGGAUGGUUUGGUGCUCCCACACAACCACACAAGUAGCCAAGUACACCCCUUCGCCCUCUUUGCCAUCUUCUCCAGGCAGGACGCGAUUGAUGAGCGGGUUUUCAACAGCGAGGGGCAGCUGCUGGAGGGCAGUGAGCUGCAGCGCGACGGCGACGCCGAGGACGAGGAUGGUGUGAAGGAUGGGGGCGACGGCGGCGGCGCGAACGCGAAGCCGAAGGCGGCUGAAGCUUCGGCUGCAGCAGCCCGGCUGCGUAGCAGCACCGGUGUCGGCAGCAACGAGCGCAAGGUCGUGCGGGCUUGGGCAGAGGUUUGGGCCGAGUACCGCAGUGUUGUUUCCGCGCUCUCUACGACGCCGGCCCGUAAGCGCGACGCCAUGCGCAUUCUGCUACACGGAGCGUUGCUGCUGCGGUCGGCUGCCGUGGCGGGGGCGCAGCUGGAACUGAACCUGAAGGUGCCGUCCUUCGGCUUCCCUCUCCUGGCGUCUGAGACGCGGGUGCGCGGCAGCAGCGUCCACCACCUGCGCGGGACGGCCGCUGCGGCGGGCGAGUCGCUCAUCCGAAGUGCCACACCGGAGACGGUGCGCCGCGCUGUGUCGGCCUACAAGUUGUUUUUCUCCAACGCCGCGCCGAGCCACUUCCCGUUUCGGCCCAUGGUUGGGCUCAACGGCGGCUGCGACGUUGUGUUUGUGUGCGGGUCGACCCUGGCAUUGUACAAUAUAGUGGCAACCACCGCGCAGCUCCGGCACAUGGUCGCCCGCUUCGCCGAGGCCCUGUUAGGAGUGCUGCACGUCUUGAUGCGCCAGGUGCUGCCGGCGGACAAGGUGCGCGCAGUGCAGUAUGUGUCCGUGGUGUCGCUGGACGAGGCACAGCCUGGGGUGGAGGCGAGUCUGAUUGGAAACGGCAGCGGUGGCGGCCACGCCAACGUCUACGCGCGCCGGCGCGGCUCUGUCGUGGCGGGCGGCGUCAGCGUGGAUGUCUUCAACCCGGUCGCGGCGCCCACCGUACCCUACUGCCUCGACUACGAUGCCGUGUUCGAGGACCACGUGAUAGACCGGCUGCGCGAGCUGCAGCAGUCGCUCGGCAUCACCAAGGACUUCCGCACCCUCAGCGAACUGAUAGACGAGAUUGAGCACACGCACCGGGUGCGGGUACUGCAAAACGUUGUGUCCACACCAGAGGAGGUGGAGUCGCUCUUCUCGCCUACGCUGCUGCAGCUCGUGCCGGACUCGACGGUGCUGCCUGCGUACACGUCGGCGGUAGUGUCGGCUACGGACCUCAUGGUGCAGGCGAUGAGUCGUGGCGCAGGCGGGCGGAAAGCCUCGGGCGUUGCCGCAGACGUGGACGACGACGACGAUGCCGACUACGUGAACAUUGGUGAGGAAGAUAUAGUGCCUGGUGCAGAACUGGAUGACCUGGCCAGCGAGGCGCGCCUCUUGCGGGACGCCGUUGCGGGAAAGUCCACUGCUGGCGGCAUCAGUCCCUCUGAGGACCUGAAUGCCGCCGACGGCGACUACGUGCACGAGUCUGCCGCGCUGCUCGAGGCGAUGAUGAACGAUGAGCUGGACUCGAUGACGAACUGGACGGCGCAGCUGCAUCGGCAGCGUGAGGAGACAGCGCGCGACCUGCAGCGCGAUUUGGUGAUGGAGGAUCGCAUCAACUACAAUGCACCACCGCCGUCCAUCGGCGCUUCGGCGGCUGGCGCAGCCGUCACAGGGGUGGCACCAUCGAAGCCGUCUCGAGCGCCUGGCCAGACCACUGCCGAAGACGCAGAGGUCGACGCGCUUGCCUGGCUGCAUGACGUGAUCACGCCAGAGAGCCUGAUUGCCGGGCUGAAGGGCUCAAACCCCGGCGCCCAAGCUUCUGCCCCGUCCUCCUCAUCCACUGCAACGGCGGCGCCGGGGGCGGCGGCCUCCCCGCAAGGUCCCGCAAGUCCGAUGGCUGGCAUACCCCCAGCUGCAGCUGGCGGCGGUCUCGCAAGCCACGCGUCUUUCGCUGGGUCGAUAGCAAGCGUGACGGGCCCGUGGACGCCGAACCCGAUCCCGCCGCCGGUGGCGGCGCCUGACGGCGCCGGUGGCAGAUGGUCCUCCGUGGCAGCCGGCACACCAACGGCCACCACACAGGAAGGUGAGCGAGGCGCAGGUGCGGCGCCUGCCGGCGGCACCGCGGCCACGGGCGAGAGCGGUGAUGGAGAGGACGAUAGCGGCGAGGAGGACGAGGACGAGGAAGAGCUGGAUGUGGUGAAGCCGCGCGGAGCUGAGGGCAGCCGACGCAAGGGCGGCAGCAAAGAGGGUAGCAAGAUGGCCACCGUCGCGUCCCGGCGGCCGCGUCGCGAGAGCCACAGCUCUAGUGGAAAGCGGUCCUCCACUGCCAGCAGGCAGAAGCGGUCGGCGAGCACGUCCAGGAGUGGUGACCGUGCAACCGCCAGAUCGGCGCCUCAGUCGACCUCGCAGACCAAACGGCGGAAGUCGUCGACGUUCGCAGCCGCGUCGGCGUCGUCCAAGAAGGGCAAAGCAGCCCCCUCCUACAGCAGCAGCAGCAGAAAGAAGUCGAGCAGCUCAAGGCGUCGGUAGCCUAUGGUGGCGCGCGUGCGUGUGUGGGAGGGAGGGAAGGAGAGGGAGGGUGCAUGAGUAGGUGUCCCACGCUUGCCCCCCCCCACCCCGGUCCCCAUUAGACGCGGAUGAUGGUGGUGGUGAGGCGGAGGAGGAGGAGGCGCUCAGAAGGCGGAGGCGGACAGCCGCGUAUGUGUGUGGGGGAGAGAGUCUGCUAUGACGACGUGCGUUGAAUGGCGCUUUUCCGUGUCCCCCUUCUUGCCCUCCAACGGUCUGCGCCUGCGAGGGCUGAUGUGGCUCUCCCAUCAUGGCGGGUGUUGCUAUUAUAUAUCUGUGUGUGUGGUAUAUAUAUAUAUAUAUACGUGUAUGUGUAUGUGGGUGUAGUUGAUUCAUAGACUUCUCAGAUGCGUAUGUAUGUGUGUGUGUGGCACGUGUUGUGGAGUCGCUGUCUCUCUCUCUCUUACUGAACGUGUACUGCAUAGAGGAUGGUUGGAGGAUGCUGUUGUUGUGUAGGAAGAAUGCUGGCAUCUGGGGCCCAUAUCAAGGCACGCCAGCGCAUGCACAUGCGCAGGGAGGUCAUAUAUAUACAUACAUAUAUAUAUAUAUAUAUGUGCCUAUGCACGCAUGUGUCGUGGUGUCUCAUGCCGAUGUGGUGCCUCCUCUCUCUCUCUUCGUUUCUCAGCGCACAAGAGAAACUUAACCGACGGACCAUCGCAGGCGACCAAAGGAAAAU
rnacentral:misc_RNA from 1 species